rnacentral:lncRNA from 1 species
AUGAGUGGGUUUUGCCCUGAAUUGCUGCUUUGGGGAGAUACCUUUGAAAGAGGACAUACCAUAUUUGGUUGUGCUCUGGACACCCAAGUUGAAACCAUAUGUCAUGCAUCUCCAGAGGACACUCAGGGAGAAGUUUCCAAGAUACCUUUUUCUCUUCCCUCCUUUCUCCUCCCCCUAUCCCAUUUGAAUCUGCAUGCAAACCUGAGAUCGGGAGCAGCUCCUCUCUAUCUGGAAACUAAAGGAAAAGAUUUCCUUUCAGACGAACUAGCAGCCCCGGAAGCCAAGCUCUUGGGAUCUAGAAUGUAGAGCUUCCUAAAGGCAGGGGCCGUGACAGCCCCAGCCUGGCGCCCAGCGAGCCUGAUAGCCCAGAAAUUAAGUAUUGACGGAGUGGAGCUUCCGCACUUAGACCCCAGACGGCCCGAGGCG